rnacentral:rRNA from 1 species
UGCGAGCGUUGUCCGGAAUCACUGGGCGUAAAGGGCGCGUAGGUGGCGCCGGAAGUCAACGGUGAAAGUUCGGGGCUCAACCCUGAAUCGGCCGUCGAUACUCCUGGGCUCGAGCACUGUAGAGGCAGAUGGAAUUCCGGGUGUAGCGGUGGAAUGCGUAGAGAUCCGGAAGAACACCGGUGGCGAAGGCGGUCUGCUGGGCAGUUGCUGACACUGAGGCGCGACAGCGUGGGGAGCAAACAGG